rnacentral:sRNA from 1 species
GGCGGGUUUUGGCAUUUCUAUGCAUGUGAAUUCAAUUGGGAU